GACGAACGAUGGCGGCGUGCUUAACACAUGCAAGUCGCACGAAGUGGCGAACGGGUGAGUAACGCGUAAUCAACCUGCCCUUCAGAGGGGGACAACAGUUGGAAACGACUGCUAAUACCGCAUACUGAAGGAGGGGAUUGCGUCUGAUUAGCUAGUUGGAGGGGUAACGGCCCACCAAGGCGAUGAUCAGUAGCCGGUCGGAGAGGAUGAACGGCCACAUUGGGACUGAGAAACGGGCCAGACUCCUACGGGAGGCAGCAGGGGGGAAUCAUCCGCAAUGGACGAAAGGCGGACGGAGCAACGCCGCGUGAGUGAUGACGGCCGUCGGGUUGGAAAGCUCUGUUGAUCGGGACGCGGUACCGGAAUAGAAAGCAACGGCUAACGACGUGCCAGCAGCCGCGGUAAUAC
rnacentral:rRNA from 1 species